rnacentral:ribozyme from 1 species
UCCCUCUUUUUCUUUUUCUUUUUCUCUUUCUUUUUCUCUUUCUUUUUCUC